rnacentral:rRNA from 1 species
CUACGGGAGGCAGCAGUGAGGAAUCUUUCGCAAUGGGCGCAAGCCUGACGGAGCGACACCGCGUGGAGGAUGACACCCUUUUUGGGCGUAAACUCCUGUUCUGAGGGAACAAAUUUUUGAGUGUACCUCAGGAGAAAGCAUCGGCUAACCACGUGCCAGCAGCCGCGGUAAGACGUGGGAUGCAAGCGUUACUCGGAAUCACUGGGCGUAAAGCGUCUGUAGGCUUCACAUAAAGUCUGGCGUAAAAGCACGAAGCUCAACUCCGUGUACGUGCCGGAAACUUAUGUGAUAGAGCAAUUCAGAGGCACCUGGAAUGCUGUGAGUAGGGGUAAUAUCCGUUGAUCCACAGUGGAACGCUAAAAGCGAAAGCAGGGUGCUGGGGAUUCGCUGACGCUGAGAGACGAAAGCGUGGGUAGCGACCCGGAUUAGAUACCCUCGUAGUC